GACGAACGCUGGCGGCGUGCCUAAUACAUGCAAGUAGAACGCUGAAGGAGGAGCUUGCUUCUCCGGAUGAGUUGCGAACGGGUGAGUAACGCGUAGGUAACCUGCCUGGUAGCGGGGGAUAACUAUUGGAAACGAUAGCUAAUACCGCAUAACAGUAGAUGUUGCAUGACAUUUGCUUAAAAGGUGCAAUUGCAUCACUACCAGAUGGACCUGCGUUGUAUUAGCUAGUUGGUGAGGUAACGGCUCACCAAGGCGACGAUACAUAGCCGACCUGAGAGGGGGAUCGGCCACACUGGGACUGGGACACGGCCCAGACCCCUACGGGAGGCAGCAGUAGGGAAUCUUCGGCAAUGGACGGAAGUCUGACCGAGCAACGCCGCGUGAGUGAAGAAGGUUUUCGGAUCGUAAAGCUCUGUUGUAAGAGAAGAACGAGUGUGAGAGUGGAAAGUUCACACUGUGACGGUAUCUUACCAGAAAGGGACGGCUAACUACGUG
rnacentral:rRNA from 1 species